CCUACGGGUGGCAGCAGUGAGGAAUAUUGGUCAAUGGACGAGAGUCUGAACCAGCCAAGUAGCGUGAAGGAUGACUGCCCUAUGGGUUGUAAACUUCUUUUAUAUGGGAAUAAAAUGUUCCACGUGUGGGAUUUUGUAUGUACCAUAUGAAUAAGGAUCGGCUAACUCCGUGCCAGCAGCCGCGGUAAUACGGAGGAUCCGAGCGUUAUCCGGAUUUAUUGGGGUUAAAGGGAGCGUAGGUGGAGUGUUAAGUCAGUUGUGAAAGUUUGCGGCUCAACCGUAAAAUUGCAGUUGAAACUGGCAGUCGUGAGUACAGUAGAGGUGGGCGGAAUGCGUGGUGUAGCGGUGAAAUGCUUAGAUAUCACGAAGAACUCCGAUUGCGAAGGCAGCUCACUGGACUGCAACUGACACUGAGGCUCGAAAGUGUGGGUAUCAAACAGGAUUAGAUACCCCUGUAGUC
rnacentral:rRNA from 1 species